rnacentral:rRNA from 1 species
GAUGAACGCUGGCGGCUUGCCUAAUACAUGCAAGUCGAGCGAACAGACGAGGAGCUUGCUCCUCUGACGUUAGCGGCGGACGGGUGAGUAACACGUGGAUAACCUACCUAUAAGACUGGGAUAACUUCGGGAAACCGGAGCUAAUACCGGAUAAUAUAUUGAACCGCAUGGUUCAAUAGUGAAAGACGGUUUUGCUGUCACUUAUAGAUGGAUCCGCGCCGCAUUAGCUAGUUGGUAAGGUAACGGCUUACCAAGGCAACGAUGAGUAGCCGACCUGAGAGAGUGAUCGGCCACACUGGAACUGAGACACGGUCCAGACUCCUACGGGAGGCAGAAAUAGGGAAUCUUCCGCAAUGGACGAAAGACUGACGGAGCAACGCCGCGUGAGUGAUGAAGAUAUUCAGAUCGUAAAACGCUGUUAUUAGGGAGGAACAAAUGUGUGAGUAACUAUGCACGUCUUGAAGGUACCUAAUCAGAAAGCCAAGGCUAACUACGUG